rnacentral:rRNA from 1 species
AUUGAACGCUGGCGGCAUGCCUUACACAUGCAAGUCGAACGGCAGCACGGGAGCAAUCCUGGUGGCGAGUGGCGAGCGGGUGAGUAAUAUAUCGGAACGUGCCCAGUCGUGGGGGAUAACGCAGCGAAAGCUGUGCUAAUACCGCAUACGAGCUAAGGAUGAAAGCGGGGGAUCGCAAGACCUCGCGCGAUUGGAGCGGCCGAUAUCAGAUUAGCUAGUUGGUGGGGGAAAGGCCCACCAAGGCGACGAUCAGUAGCUGGUCUGAGAGGACGACCAGCCAGACUGGAACUGAUACACGGUCCAGACUCCUACGGGAGGCAGCAGUGGGGAAUUUUGGACAAUGGGCGCAAGCCUGAUCCAGCAAUGCCGCGUGCAGGAUGAAGGCCUUCGGGUUGUAAACUGCUUUUGUACGGAACGAAACGGCCCUUUCUAAUACAGGGGGCUAAUGACGGUACCGUAAGAAUAAGCACCGGCUAACUACGUGCCAGCAGCCGCCGUAA